UCUUUUCUUUUCUUUUUUUGGAUUUUUG
rnacentral:sRNA from 1 species